GUAAAUUUCAAUAUCAUAAUCACACACUACAAAAAAUCAUUUAAUUAGUUUAAAUUCGACAAAUGCUAAACUUCAAUAAAUUCGCGAAGAAAUACAUAAUAUUGUUUUAUUUAUUUACAUUAAAGUAACUAGACGAACUCCGGCCGAAUUGUAGACAAAAUAUUUCGUUAAAAAUACAAUAAUGUCGAAUACACGAACCAGUACUGUGGAACGAAAUGGAAAUAGUAGCAAAGGUUCAAAAUUAGCCUCACCAUGGUCUCGUGCAACUGCAAGCAGUUCUGAAUGGCAUGAUAAGGAUGAAUUUCUCGACGUAAUUUAUUGGUCUCGACAAGUAUUAGGUAUUAUUAUUGGUAUUAUCUGGGGCAUCAUUCCAUUGCAAGGUUUCACCGCAAUCGCACUUUUUGCAGCUAUUAAUUGUGGCAUUGUGUAUUUGUAUUGUUUAAAUUUUCAAAAAAUUGAUGAGGAUGAAUACGGUGGUAUUUGGGAACUGCUGAAAGAAGGUUUCAUGACAUCGUUUGCAUGCUUUUCAGUCACCUGGAUAGUUUUCUUUACUGGCCUACAUUUUGAUGACGUCAAUACACCCACAAACAAUCGGUAAGUCCAUCAACAAUACCUCAGCAAUGUAACAACACAGUUGACCACACAUUGUGAGAUGGGAUUGGCGUACUUCUUGCAAAUGAAGUGCUACCAAUUCAAUCAGGAACCAUACAGAUUAUUCAAAUUUGAUCAAAUCGACAUUCGAAACGCAAUCGAAAGCAUUAUGCGCAAUAAAGACUGGAGUGAAGUCGAUCCAGUUCGAAAAUCCAAAAUUACUGAGCUGUUUGUUGCGGUGAAAGAACGUUGUUUACUCGAUACAACGUGAAAUUAGUGAAUUCAAGAAAGAACAUCAACAGCUGGUGCAGACAUGGUUGCGACACAAGAAAAAACCAUCGUUGUUCGAAAAACCGACGCAACCACUGCCACCAAAGAUUCGCAAUAUCACCGUUGUACCGCUAUGUGAUAAUAAACUCAAACACAUCAAAUUCGAUCAUAUGGAUUUGUUAGCACUAUUGGCUUGAUGGAAACUUAUUCCAGAAGAAUUCGGUGGCAAAGAUGGAGGAAGUUCUAUAUAUACCAAAAAUUAUUUUGAAGAAAACUAAUACGACGAUUGGAAUAUUUUAUUCGACAUGAAGAAAAUCAAUGAACUCAAAAGACCAAACCAGCAAUUUAACCGUUUCGGCUUCGGUACUAUUCGAAAUACCAAAACGUGAGUAGACCGAAAUCAAUCGCGAACGAAUCAAACAAAAACUUGAAGCCGGUGAUUACACGUAUAUCAUCCCACUUGAUCCUGGCGUGAACACAUACUAUGCUGGAUUUCGUCGGAACAUUGAAACUUGUGUCGAAGAAAACAUCAAAAUAUCACAGAAGCAAUAUCAUUGGGGUGCCCGACAAGGUAUUCGGGACAAAAGACCAAAGCGCAUGACAGCAACAUUCACGAAGAUGGAACAGUCCGAUCGCAAGGAAAACUAUCUAUCAAUACCAUCACCGCGCGGAAAUGGCUGGAUAUACUAUCUCGAUCAUCGAUUGAAAAUGAUGCAGGAUGGAUUGGCGGCAUAUGCUCGGCGACGAUAUGCACGGCUAUCGUUGGACAAGUACAUCGGCUCACAACAUGAAACCGAUUGGUUAGCAAAAUCAUUGACAAAAAAUAAGCCAUCGCUGUUCAUCAUCGGAGACGCGGACUUGCCAGCCAAUUCUCCAAUCGGUAAGAAGAAGACCAAACGAUGACCGGGAACACGACGUCUUGAAAACAGCGUAAAAUAAACUACAUCAUUCAGAUGUAGUCAGAGUGAAUGAAGACUACACGUCUCAACACUGUGCCAGUUGCAUGGUGGAGUUCCCGAAAGAAACGAAAAAAUUCCUAUUCAAAGCAUGCAAAAAUUGUCCACGCAAUGCUCCAAUACCACCGGAGAUUGCCAAAUACAUGUCGUUGCCGCCGCUAAUUGUGUCCAAAAAGGGCUCAUAACGCAAAACGUUGGACCUUUGUGUGAAAAAGUUGAUCGACAGAGGUCUAGUAAAUCAAGCAAAUCUGCCAAAAGAAUUCAAACCAGAGCGAUUAGCGUCAUUAAAAAUGUAUUAUUGGAAAAACUGGCCGCUUAACUCUGUGAAUGCACUUCAAAUACGAGACGAUGCUGCGAACACCAAUGAUCAUCAUCAACAACAACCGGAACAAGAACUUGGAUACCGAGAGCCAAUUCAAGAUUUGUUAAUAGUACUGCGAUUUACCAUUGUUUGGCAUCGAGACAUUGUUGCGGCAAGGUGCCUAAUAGGGUGGAACAUUUUUGGCACAAUUUGGUGGCCACUUGGGAAAACAUGUCUUAUAGUCCCCAGAUUCAAGAUAUGGAGGAAUUUUCAACUUGC